CAGGCUCCAUCCACAGACCCUGAGAUCAUGACCUGAGCCGAAACUGAGGGUCUGAUGCUUAACUGACUGAGCCACCCAGGUGCCCCGCAAAAUGCCUUUAAAUGAUAGCAAAAGACUUCUGUAGAAAUUCGUAUUUGAGUUAACACACUACCACAGCUGAUAAGGUAAAAGACAGUAUUCCCCCUAAUUGAAAGGUUGAUGCAGGGGCACCUGGGUGGCUCAGUCAGUUAAGCGUCUGCCUUCCCAGGAUCUUAGGGUCCUGGGAUCGAGGCCUGCUUCGGGCUCCUGCUCAUCGGGGAGUUUGCUCCUCCCUCUGCCUCUCCCCCCAGGCUUGUGCUCUCUCUCUCGUUCACACUCUUUCUCUCUAAUAAAUAAGUAAAAUUUUAAAAAAAUGGAAGAUUGAUGCAUAGUACUUGUACUAGAUUGAAUAGUGUCCCCUCAAAAUUCAUGCCCAUUUGGAACCCCAGAAUGUGACUUUAUUUGGAAUUAGGAUUUUUCACAUGGAAUUAGUUAAAGUGAGGUCAUCCUGGAUUAGGGUGGGCCCUAAAUCCAACGACUAGAGUCAUUAUGAGGAGGCCAUGUAGAGUUACAGAGACCACAGAGAGGGAUGAAGACAUAUGACAAUGGUGGAAGAGGCCAGCCAGGGAAGGCCAAGGAUUUCUGGCAAUCACCAGAACCUAGAAAGAGGCAGGCAACAGAUUCUCAGCUUCUCCUCAUGGCCCCAAGAAGGAAUCAAUCUUGCUUGAAAUCUUGACUUCAGACCUCUAGCCUCCUGAACUGUGAGAGAAUAAAUUUCUGUUGGUCUAAUCCAUCACAUUUGUGGUAAUUAUGAUAGCAUAGGAAGCGAAUAUACUAUUCACUAGGUUAUCAAAGAAUAAAGUUUUAAGUAUGCAGCAAUCUGUUUGGUGGACUCAAGUAGACUUUAAUCACUAAACUAAAACUAUGCUCUGAAAAAUAUAUGCUUUUUCAGUAUACAUUCAGAUAACACACAAGUGAGAUAAGUGUACACACUCUUUGGCUUCUUCAUAUUGUUGUUUCCUAAUGGAAAAAUAAAUCCUGAAGACGUCCCUGUUAGUACACAGAGAGAAGCCUCAAUGUGCCCCCCACCCCCAGCCUGCCCGGGAACCAGGGAAUUAGUCUUCCUAAAGACUGAGCUGUAUUCCAGGAUGUGGAUUUACCACGAUUUACUUUGCCAACCUGCUCAAUUAGAUGAAGGUUUAUUAAAUGCCUCAUCCUGAGGGCUUCGAUGUAAAUCUGUUCAAUGCAAUCCAAUCCCGUGCAAAACAAUUCAAUAAGCAUCUACUGAGCACCCUCUUCGUGCCAGCCUCUCUGCUAUGAUCACAUUUGGGUCUCAUCUUGAUUGACUACCUCGACCCUUCAGGUCCCAUAGCAAAGAUACUUUUUGAAAAUCUAUUAUGAAAUAUAACACGAGAAACUGAUCAUAAGACCAUAGUAAAAGGGAUUGAUGUUUGGGAUGGAUACAAAAUUUUUCUUUUUCUCUACUGACCUCCUUAUUUUAAUAGGCUCUAAUGUCCUUACUUAAUUGGGCUUCUUAGGGUUUGGAAUUUGUCCCAGAUAGCAAGGUGCAACUCAACCUAUCAAGAAGUGAUAGAACUGCUGAAAGCAUAAAGAACACGAUUCCGUUGGAUUCGUGGUGAGAAAGACAUGAUCCUGGAAGCAGUGAGGACAAACCCAUCUGUUUGGUCUCACAGUGAUUCAGCACUUACUGGUCCUGUCUCAGGUGGGCGCAGGGGCUUCCUGGUCUACGCAAUAGGUAGUCAUGGGCUGUGACGUGGUAUCUCGGUCUUGCUGCUGAUGUAAGGAAGCACUUUGUUGCUUUCCUGCUUUUGAGUUAGACCGGCUCUUAUAUAGAUGAGAAUUCUAAGUCAUCAUCUUUUUAAUUAACAAUUUAAAUUCUUUUUUUUAAAAGAUUUUAUUUAUUUAUUUGUCAGAGAGAGAAAGAGAGUACAAGCGGGGGGAGCUGCAAGGAGAGGGAGAGGCAGGCUUCCUGCUGAACAGGGAGCCCGAUGUGGGGCUCAAUCCCAGGACCCCGGGAUCAUGACCUGAGCCGAAGGCAGACGCUUAACUGACUGAGCCACCCAGGCGUUCCCAAUUUAAAUUCUUGGCUCAGGGUGAGAAUGCACUACCCAGGGGAUGGGGAUCACCAGGCACCAUCUAGGAGGCUGCCCUCCUAGGACAGGAUUAUCCUGCCUCUGCCUUGGAAUAAUUGGUCUCUUCUCCAGGCCAAAUGUCCUCCAUUAUUUCUACUGCUUCACAAAGGAAAGUCCCCAUCUGCCCCAUUCUCCCCCCUUUUGGACACAAUAUUUCCUUUAAUUCUUGGCCUGGAAACAAGUAUAAAACUCCAGAUGCUCUACAGACAACAGGGUUGUGGUUUCCUCCGAUCUGGAUGUUGUGCGAUUUAUAUCCCCUUGAGUUUCUUGCUAAAAUGGGCCACCCCGCAGUCUAAAUAAGACUUGUAAUUAACUGAAAUUCCUAGAUCUUUUUCACACAGGAAACCUUUCCUGUCAAAUCUUUCCUGUACAUCUGUGCACAAGGUGUUAGCUGUUUAUCCUUUUGAAUUUUUGUUUGCCUGAUUUUGUCCAUCCAAUAAAAACAUUUUGAACCUCAGUUCUGUAAUCUGUGGCAGUAGCUGUCCCUCCUAGACCUGUGUCAUCUGCGUACUCGCUAGGCCUGUCUUCUAAGUCUUCAGCCAUGUCGCCAGGGAGAAUACAGCAGAAAGUAGACACCUGCGGUGUACCAUUAGAGACAAUCAGCAGAUUAGUGCUCUCGUUAGUCAGGCAACCUGGAAACUUACUUAUGAUUUUCCCCAAAAGUAUUAUGCUUCUGCUCAUGUGAACUAUUUGAUCCAUGAAAUAAUCUUGGGAAAUUGUGUCAAAUACUUUGUGGUAACCAACACAGGCCAUGGUGAUGGCAUUCCUCUGAUUUCCACCCCCUCUCGCAAGUACCUCUAGCUAGGGUAAGCCUUAAAUGUAAAGAGAAUUUGCUCUCGGAAAGCCAAUGUUCCAGUAUUAGUGAUGACCACUUUCUUCCGUAAGAGCGUAUUGAUUUCCACAUCCAGAAUCCAACCUGUUUUGAAAAUUGGGAUAAAAUAUGCCCCUCCGUUUCCCUAGUGCUUCUCUCCCAACCAUGAUUCUUGGAAAUUUCCAGCCUCAGCUCUGAGACCCUCUGUGUAAACUCCUGCUUCACUCAAGGGGAUGUUUUGUCUGAGCCUGGAGACAUCUGAGCUCAUUGAAGUGAUACACGGCUUGUCGAUAUCCCUGCCUCCCCCCUCUGCCCUGCUCGUGGCUUCCAAUUUGAGAUCCUUUCCUUUUUGGUGCUAAGCACAUAGAAACAAAUAGUUUCUGGCAUCUCACUGCCACUUGUGAACUCCCCGGUCUAUUUUGAGCAGUGAGUUAAUUCUAUCCUUGUUCUUCUUGCUUCGAAAAAGAAAAAUUAAGCCAAUGACACCUCCCUGCAUUCUUUAGUGCUUUUGGUGACUGUCAGCCCCUUCUGUGUUUUGACUUCUGCUGAGACUUUUCUUCCUGCCUCCUCCAGUUAAGUAUGAAAGGUUUGUCCUAGAUUAGGCAUGCCUGUCGGCUGCGAGCAUUUCUCUGUUUGCAUGCUUGUCCCGAUGCCCCUUGUCUCCAGGGCCUGGCACAAAUGCCUUGCACCUAGUAAGUGUUCAAUAAAUAUUCAUAUAUUCAGAUUUUCAAAAGGUAAACUUUGAAAGCUAAUUAAGAAUUGAUUUAACUGUUGUUACAUGGCCUCAGGAGAUCUUUGGAGAGCGGAGAGGGUUUGGAAAAUUAUGCUGACUGCUAAGUCACUGGAGAGAAGCAGGACAAAAGAGUGGUUAGUUUUUCCUUUUUUGACCUUUCCUUGAGCAACCAAGAAGUGGAACACCACAAGUGCAGUGUUGUAAUGCACCCCUCCCUCCCUUUCUUUUCAUCAAUCAAAUCAUAUUUGCUGAGGAUUCACGGUGUGCGAGGCCCCAAGAGGUCGCAGGAACUUUUACCCAGUCCCGAUACAGUGCUCAUCACCUCACCCACUUGUCUCAGGGUGUGUGCUUGGCUUUCAGUCUGGAGGAGUCAGCUUUUAAAAUGCAGCAUCUCCCAGCCAGAAACAAAAGCCUUGGGAGAUGACACUCCUCGGGUCUCAGCAGCUAACGUCUUGCUAACCACCUGCUGGUAGAGACAGGCUGGCCUGGGCUUAGCUGUGUGACCUCUGACAAGACACGGAGCCCUUCUGAGCCCUCAUCCGUGUAGAUCUGACAGACUCUUCAUCCGUAUAAUGGGGGUACCUAGUAAUACCUGCCUUAAAGGUUUGUAGGGAGACUCUAACAAAAUAAUGCCUCCAGGUAUAUGUGCUUUAUUAGGUCAUUUGUUUAUUCACCUACUGUUUGUUGCCUUGUUGGUCCUGUCAGCAGGGCCCUGUGCACAGCUGUGUCCACCAGAGACAGCACUGGAAGCAAGGGGUGCAGGUGCGAGGCAAGUAGCCCACAUGGACUGGAGCGACUGGGAAGUCUGUGUGUCCAAGGGUGGGGUGCUCCAGGGGGAGAUGGGAUUGCCCAAGGAAGACUCGGCUGUUUUGUGAUCAGCUGGUAGGCCUGGUCGACAGAGGCUCUGUCUUUGUGGUCACUGCCCAGCCCACCUUGUCUGGACUGAGUGUGUGCUGUGACAGCUUCACCUUCUCGGGUGACCUGCGAGGGUCACCAGGCUCAGAGCUAUCCCGGGGGGAAACUGAGACCCGGAAGCCAUGUGUUGACAACACAGGCAAGGAGGAUUCAGCUGUGGGGCUCCCCCAGAAGGUGACGUGUGGGCAUGCGCAUGCCGGUGGAUGUGGGGGGCUGCACGUGGGGAAGGGCUGGAAGUCAAGGAGAUGCAGUGAUCUAUAUGCGUUUCCCUUCCCUCCUGAGAGUGUCUGCGGAAGAAAUCGUUCUGGGCUCAUCUUCAUGUCCCCAGUGGGCUCUGCACAGGACCUGGCACACGCCCCGGUGAUAGUUUGCACUCCUGAUGUUUGAAGCCCUUGGGAUUUUUCUUUGUGAAAUAAAGGGGGAGAGCGAACCGGUGUGCACUGACUGAAUGUGCAGGUGACGGACGGUGACCCACCCCACCUCUCAGCCUCCUGGCUUUCUAGAGAGCCGUGGAACCUCCCAACACCAGGCUGUCAGCAGCAGCUGCACCCCCAUGAAGGGGGUCUAAUCUAGAUGGGAGACAGGACUCUAUGACGCCCCACAGGAAGCGACGAGGAACAUGGUGUUCUCUGGAUGCAUUUGGGUGUGUUUCUUCAGUGCGGUAGAUAAAAAUGAGGCCUUCUGUUGUGUGCUGUCUUUGGGGAUCCCGCGAGCAAGUUCGUUGAGAAACAGAGUUCCUAUUGACAAUUUGUUCUUUGAAGAGGGAACAAAAGAAAAGAAUUAUUUGUCUGGCAACAGCGGUAAUUUAUGUCAUGUAGGGCUUUGCGGAUUAUGCUGGAUUCUCAUGGUCAUUUUCUCUUCGGAUCCUCAUGGCAGCCUGGUGGUUGGUGUGAUCCUGGCUAGUCCUGCUGUCUCCAUUUGCCAGGUCAGGACACUGAGGCCCAGAGUCACACUGCCACUCGACUUCCCUCCCACUGUCCCUCAAAGCCGGCUCUCCUCAUCCUUGCUUGCUGGCCCCUGACCACCUGCUCCCCUCACUGACCCCUCAACUGCAGGAGCCUGGUCCUUCCUAUUGGGGAAGGAAGGCUCUCAGUUACCAAACACAGAGGAAUAAAAUCCAGUUCAAGAUAAUCUGCACUUGCUGUUUCUUGCCUUUCACAUCGAAAAGGCAUCUCUCUUUGACUUGGGCAAGAGGUGAGGGUGUUAAUUCCUGGCUUGUUUUCAUAUUUAUUCUCUGCUGACCUCUGUGCCUUCAUACAUGGGUCCAAAUUGUGCAAUGUUCUUAGACAGUGGGUUCUUUGAGGGCAAACACCAAGUCGCCACACUCAUUACACAGCACUAACCGCGUGUCUUGGGCACGUCAAAGUUUUGCAGAGAGUAUCACAAUGAAGACAUGACGGCACAUUUCUAUGCUUCAGCAUGAACAACUACGUGCCUGGAAAUCUGUGUGAAAGUGUUUGUGUUGGAAAGUUACUGCCUCAAGAAUGGACUCCCAUUCCACGAGGUAUUGACUCAGAGAGCUGUGAUUUGUGCUAUUUGAGUCUUGUUGUUUUAUUGCUAAAGCUUGGAGAAUUUUUCUUAGCAAAGUAUUGGAAAAGAAUCUAGGUCUGCUGUUGGUUUACAUUACAGAAAAUCAUUUCAAAAAGAGAGUUGGCUUUGUAGAUAAAGACCGAACUAGAAGCAACCAAAACACCAAACCACCAGUGCUUUCUCAAAACUAAAUGUAAAGUAUAAAUAGAGAACAAAACAGGAAAUAGUGGUUUGCAAAAAAAAAAAAAAAA